AGCACUUCCCAGAGAUGCCUGUGCUGCUGAUCUGGAAAACCACACUGAGUUAAGACUCAUUAAAAAUCUCUCUUGGCAAUAUCAGAUCUUGCAUUGAAUAGGAGGUCAUGAUCCCAUCAUGUCAACAAAAUCCAUUUCUGAGUAUUCCAAUGUCCAAGGAGGUUGAGAUCCAGGCUGAACCAGCCUCAAGGCCUCGCAGAGUGUGUCUGUGCCCCAUUCCUGAGCCAAGUGGCAGUGCCAGGCAAAUUAGCUCUGUAAAUUUGGUCAGAAUUGUGCUCCCCUGUGCACAGCUGUGGUGAAUUUCUCCUUUUGUACUUCCUCAGAGGCAAGGAAAGAUCCACAAAUGCCCCACUCCCAUUUUAACCAGUGGUCUCCCCAGAACAGGGGAUUGUCUCCCUGAGGUCUUGUCUUGCUCCUUCCUUCCUGCAACCUUCCCUCUCCACUGUCCCACUGAGAGCUGGUCACCUUCUCAUCCCAUGGGAAUCAGUGAUCCUUGGGUGUUUUCCUUUGGCUUUCAUUCUGAAGAAUCUGAAGCUCAAACUGAAGAAAUGUGGUGCUGGACUGUUGUUUUGGGGCCCAAGUGUUCGAGGUGCAAUGCAGAUCCAGCAAAGUCACAAAAGGCCACACCAAAGAAGCUGAGAAGAUGCAAACUUUGUCACUGGUGCACAUGGGAACCUUGCCACCUAGCAUGGGAGUCAGACAGCUGCGGCUGGAGCCGUAGGAUAUUAAAGGACUUGUGUCCAACUGCAGUGCACCGUGCUGCGGAGCUCGCGCCGUCCAUGUCAACAGCAGCACUUUCUCUGCUCACACUCUUCCUCAAAGGACAUCUUGGCCUGGAUUGCAUUGCAUCCCUCAGAUGUUUAGGAAGCAUGAGAGGCCAUGGCCCAGUACAGACAGUCCUCGAGUAUAUGGAGAUCUGCAAAGGGUACAUAACACCUCUCUUCCAUGACAGGCUCUGGAGUCAGCAGUGGAAGUGGCUCAUGCAGGCAGGGAACACAGCCUGUGGGCAGAAGGCUGAAAUGAAGAGGUACACGAGCCAGCUGGAACAAAUAGAAAGACAAGGCACAGGCUGGAGUUCCAAUCAACUUUAUUUGACAGCUUAGGAUAGGGAUGAGAGUCAGCAGCAGGAACCACACCAACCAGAUAAAUCUCAGGCACUCCAGGUCUAGUCACAAGAAGGGGAAAGAUGUGGUGACCGCAGGACACACAGAUAAAGUCACUGCCCUGUCUUUGCACCUGACACCAUGGCCCUGGCACAGCACAGUGCUGAACCAUGCACUUCAAGCCAGCACCUCCAGGGCUGGGCAGCGGGCUGCAGGGCUUAUUGCCCUGCCAUGCUGAUCAAAAGUGCUGAUCCAUUCUGAGGGAGAGAAGCUGGCCUGGAACUGACAGCACUAAUGACCUCUGUCAUCAUUCACCUGCACAGUGAGAUGGUUCAUUAUGAGAUGGAGAGGGCUCUGCCUGGGCCAGGGGCUGCAGGGAGCAGCAGUGGAGCUGGCCUGAGGAGGCAGAGAUCAUGUUCCUGUGCGUGCACAUGCUCGUGCACACAGACACCUGCUGCGCGUGCUGUCUCCUGGCCUGGUGUGUGUCACAUCUGCAGGUCAAGAGUUCAACUCAGAUAAUCAGACUGUUGUUAAUGUGCUUGACGUUGUGUAGGGUUCACUGGCUGUGCCCACGUGGCAGUGCUCUGUUAUCAGAAUAAACAAGAGGUUAAUUGUACGUCUGGAUGAGAA
ensembl:lncRNA